AAAACUUCAUCUUCUUCCUAAACUCUCUCUCAGGGCCGAACCUAUUCCCAUUCUUCCUCCAUGGAUUCUCAUCUUCCAAGCUUAAAAUCCCUUCCAUUCUCACAAUAAUCUUCAUAAGUUCCUUCAUUAAAAUUCAUCCCCACACCUUGGGAAGUCAAUUGGAAGCUAAGAAAGAGUAGAUUGGUGAAGUUUUGGCAACUUGAAGAAGUGUCUAUUAAAGGUACUAGAAACCAAACACAGCCACAGCAGCAGCUGCAGCAGUAGUGCCUUAAUAGAGAUUGACCAGAUCUAACAGUGCCUGCUAGUCACCUCAACAAUAUUUAUUUUGGUAGGGCCUAUGUUAUUAGAUUUUGUAUUUUGAUUUAUUGUACAUAAGUAGAUACAGUGUAGCUCAUUUUGAAUAUUUUAAAUAAAUUGUAAUUAUAUUUUGGAUUGUAAAUGAAGCUG
rnacentral:misc_RNA from 1 species